rnacentral:rRNA from 1 species
CGAACGAAGAGUUUGAUCCUGGCUCAGGAUGAACGCUGACAGAAUGCUUAACACAUGCAAGUCGACUCGAGUCUUCGGACUUGGGUGGCGCACGGGUGAGUAACGCGUAAAGAACUUGCCUCUUAGACCGGGACAACAUCUGGAAACGGAUGCUAAUACCGGAUAUUAUGGUUUUUUCGCAUGGAGGAAUCAUGAAAGCUAGAUGCGCUAAGAGAGAGCUUUGCGUCCCAUUAGCUGGUUGGUGAGGUAACGGCCCACCAAGGCAAUGAUGGGUAGCCGGCCUGAGAGGGUGAACGGCCACAAGGGGACUGAGACACGGCCCUUACUCCUACGGGAGGCAGCAGUGGGGAAUAUUGGACAAUGGACCGCAAGUCUGAUCCAGCAAUUCUGUGUGCACGAUGACGUUUUUCGGAAUGUAAAGUGCUUUCAGUCGGGAAGAAGUCAGUGACGGUACCGACAGAAGAAGCGACGGCUAAAUACGUGCCAGCAGCCGCG